GGCCUGGUGGUCUAGUGGUAUGAUUGUCGCUUCGGGUUACCGCGCCUGGACGCUCAGCGUCUGAAAUGUGACAGGCCCCGGGUUCAAAUCCCGGCCAGGCCC
rfam:Coniosporium apollinis CBS 100218 chromosome Tnknown supercont1.14, whole genome shotgun sequence.